rnacentral:lncRNA from 1 species
GGCGAUUACCGUGUGUUCUCAAAUGUCUCGUCUGUGUGUGUGUGUUGUGUACGGAUUCGAUGAGAUAAUGUCAUUUUGCUCCAAUAUCUGGCAUUGUUAGGUCUUAAAUAUUAGUUCUCGUUAUUUUCCAAAGACACAGAAGUCAAACUGAAAAGAGUCGUCUGAGAUGAAUAUCGUAAUACAGAUUUAUAGAAUCUACUAGCAACGUCAGGAGAAUAAAGAAAAACGCAACCUCACAGUUACCCUGACAUUUGAAGCCGCAUGGUACUGACUGUGGAACCCAGAGCAAGAUACGGGCUUUUGAGUUUCCGUUUCCUCAUCUGCGAAGUACAGGUGGUAACAGCCCACAGACACGGGCAAGGAGUCAAUGUGGGAACGGAGGUCACUCGUGUGAAACACCUGGCGCACACUCAACAAAACAAGGAGACAGAGGAGGA